rnacentral:rRNA from 2 species
UACGGGGGAUGCAAGCGUUAUCCGGAAUGAUUGGGCGUAAAGGGUCUGUAGGUGGUCGAUAAAGUCCACCGUUCAAUACCAAGGCUUAACCUUGGGGCAGCGGUGGAAACUCAUCGGCUUGAGUACGGUAGGGGCAGAGGGAAUUCCCGGCGUAGCGGUGAAAUGCGUAGAUUUCGGGAAGAACACCAAUGGCGAAGGCACUCUGCUGGGCCGAAACUGACACUGAGGGACGAGAGCUAGGGGAGCGAAUGGG